rnacentral:rRNA from 1 species
UACGUAGGGCGCAAGCGUUAUCCGGAAUCAUUGGGCGUAAAGCGCGUGUAGGCGGUCCGGUAAGUCCGCUGUGAAAGUCGGGGGCUCAACCCUCGAAUGCCGGUGGAUACUGUCGGGCUAGAGUGCGGAAGAGGAGAGUGGAGUUCCUGGUGUAGCGGUGAAAUGCGCAGAUAUCAGGAAGAACACCCGUGGCUAAGGCGGCUCUCUAGUACGGUACUGACGCUGAGACGCGAAAGCGUGGGGAGCGAACAGG